rnacentral:misc_RNA from 1 species
UUUCCGUAGGUGAACCUGCGGAAGGAUCAUUAAUAAUUUGCCGAACCUAGCGUUAGCGAGGUUCUGCGAUCAACUUAUAUUUAAAACCCAACUCUUAAAUGUUAUAAUUAUGUAUUUUUUUUAAAUGAUAAAAAAUUAAAAGAUCACUUUCAACAACGGAUCUCUUGGCUCUC